rnacentral:rRNA from 1 species
AUUGAACGCUGGCGGCAGGCCUAACACAUGCAAGUCGAGCGAGCGGCGGACGGGUGAGUAAUGUAUGGGGACUGCCCGAUAGAGGGGGAUAACUACUGGAAAAGGUGGCUAAUACCGCAUACUAUCGGAUAACCCAUAUGGGAUUAGCUAGUAGUUGUGGUAAAGGCUAACCUAGGCGACGAGCUAGAGCUGGUCUGAGAGGAUGAUAAGCCACACUGGGACUGAGACACGGCCCAGACUCCGACGGAGGCAGCAGUGGGGAAGAGUGCACAAGGGGCGCAAGCCGGAUGCAGCCAUGCCGCGGGUAUGAAGAAGGCCUUAGGGUGGGAAAGGACUUUCAGCGGGGAGGCGUUACCCGCAGAAGAAGCACCGGCUAACUCCGUGCCAGCCGCCGCGGUAAUAC